rnacentral:piRNA from 1 species
UGCCCUGUGGAGACACGGAUGUGCCUAGC